ensembl:lncRNA
GUGUGUGUACACAAAACAUGGGUCAUGCAGGAGGCCAGGGAGUGGUGCAGUGUUUGUAUGGGGCUUCGAGGUGCUGGGGGAAAUGCUGAGAGGGAUUUGGGAGCUGCUGCGGUGCUGGAGGUCAUCUCAUAGGAAAUGACUACCAUGAAUUGGUGUUCCUUGGGAUGAAGAGGUCGUGCUGUGAUGCCCAAGCAGUGUGAACACCAGCAGCCUUGCUGCAGAAUUUCUCUUUGGUGAUAGCAGUAGUUUUGAUGGGGAAGUGAUGCGUGGGGACAUUGAGAGCAUGGUCGUCACUGCUGCUGGUGUGGUGUUUUGGCCUUGGAGAAAAUGGUACUCAUACAGUGCUGCUCUCAGCUUUCUGCCUGCAGCAAAGGGAACAAGUGCUUUAUAAAUCCCUGCUUUGGUCCCAGCUUCUUCAAGUGACCUUUGUGUGUCUGCUUACUUUUGGUAAAAUGGAGGCAGUAAUGUCCAAUUGCUUUUUAGAAUCACAGAAUAUCCCGAAUUGAGAGGAACCCAUAAGGAUCAUUAAGUCCAACUCCUAGCCAGUCUCUUUGAGGAAACCAGAGUUUUCUCGUGUGUGAGAGUGCAAGAGAAAGCAAACCCACAUGGGAAGGAGCUACGCUUUGAGGAACAUCCUGAUUGCAGAAGGACGCAAGGCUCUGUUAAAGCCCAGGGCCAGGUUAGAAGCUCACGGUGUGAAACUGCCUUAAUGCAGAUAAUCAUGGAUGAAAAGGCAGCAUAGGGUGGGAAGCAGCCUGACAAGAAGGCUGUAAUGAUGUAACGGUAAUAUGACUGGGCCAGAAGGAAGUGGUAUUAUUGGGCUAAAUUCUUUCUACUUUGAAGAGGCCAAAGCCACUUCUCACAUGAUUGGAUUCCACCUCCAGGGUCUUGAAUUUGCCAGACAGCAAACACACCAAAGGGACCUGGCUUUGCCUGUUGGACGCACAGCACCCACCAAUGAGUGGGUGACAAACUGCACGUUUCCAGGGCUGUGGUUUUCUGGGCAUCUGCAGCUGCCCGUCACUCUUGCAAACUGUCGCCGUUGAUUUUGCAGAACGUCAUCCGUCGUGUUUCCUCACGCUCCUUGGAAUGCACUAAAUAACCAAAAGAGCAGCUGACAAAAUAAAUGAGCAAAGUGGGGUUUUUUGUUGUUGGGUUUUUUUGUUUUUUGUUUUUUUCUUUUUUCAGAGACAUUGCACAAAGGGCAGGAUGGGCUGUUUGGGACGUGCCACUUCUGCCCAUUUCAAACGCAGACUUCAUCAGGGCAGCUGGCAGAAGGGAUGGCUCCAGUCCUUCGUGCUCACAGACGGUUUGUUCCGGACCUGGCUCUGGCUGAACCCUGGUGAACUUCCCCCGCAUCCCCUUCCCCGCCGGAGAGCUUGCAGCCAUGAACUUCCCGUGCCUGACCCAAGCAUCUCCGAGAGGUGUGAUCUGAGCUGCAGCCGGAGGAAGGAGAUGGUCGACCCGCCCCUGGCUCCCGCUCAGCCUCCCUAAUCAGCGCAGGAAUGUCUCUGGAUGUGAGUGCUCCCGGCUGAACUGCUCUGUGCACCACUUGGCAUGGGCCAUGCAGCAGACAUAUAUUUCAGUGGAGGUGGCAAAGAGUAAGGGGGAAAUGUGGAAUGAUGCAGGAGCUGUAUAAUGGAAUGGAACAAAAUUUCUGGUACAUACGUAUGUUUAUAUAUAACAUCAUGCAGAAAGACCCUAUGCAAGGAGUAUGGAAGAGAGGAUGGAUCUUGCUGCUCAUGCCCCAGACCAGCCUCCUCCUUGUUGCAGACUGUAAUAAGCCAUCGCUGGAGGAUGGUAGAGAGGUUCUUUGAAAAUCUCUCCAAGGUAACUAUUUUUUACAGCUGCGUGGAUGAAAAUUGAUGGAGCUGUUGGAGAGGGUCCAGAGGAGGCCACAAGGAUGGUCAGAGGGCUGCAGCACCUCCCCUACAAAGACAGGCUGAGGGAGCUGGGCUUGUUCUGCCUGGAGAAGAGAAGGCUGCGGGGUGACCUCAUUGCAGCCUUUCAGUACCUAAAGAGAGCCUACAAACAGGAGGGGAGGCAACUCUUGGAAAGGGGAGAUAACAGCAGGACAAGGGGAAAUGGUUUUAAGUUGAAGGAGGGAAGAUUUAGGUUGGAUGUCAGGGGGAAGUUCUUUACUGUGAGAGUGGGGAGGUGCUGAACAGCUGCCCAGAGAGGCUGUGGAUGCCCCGUCCAUCCCUGGAGGUGUUCAAGGCCAGGUUGGAUGGGGCCCUGGGCAGCCUGGGCUGGUAUUACAUGUGCAGGUUGGUGGCCCUGCCUGUGGUGGGGGGUUGGAGAUUCGUGAUCCUUGAGGUCCCUUCCAGCCCAUUCUCUGACAUGAUAUGGUAUGAUAUGAUAUGAAAUGAAAACUGAGGAAGUAGCAUUAAGAGACAUAAUUUCUCCAUCUGCACUAGGAGUGGUGGUAUAGCCAUGAUGUUCUGCGGAUCAUUGGUGAAACACUGGCACAGUCUGCCCAGAGAAACUGUGGAUGCCCCAU